UAAAAUUCAAUUUUGAAAAGACAAGAUUACCAAGAUAUGUAAUUCGUAUAUGUUCAUACAGAAAUUGAAUAGAAUAAAAAUAAGAAAAUUCCAGAAUCGAGCAAGACGAGCAUCUGCAAUAUACGCACCUAAAAUGGGUAAUAUCCAAGUAGCAGCAACUCAAUUGGUGACAUUGUACAGUGCCAUCAUGGAGUUUCUUUUCAAAUACAGUACCAAAUUUGAUGCUAUCCCAUAAUAUAUGCCAUCCUUUCAAACGGCCAUCAUUAUCCCCGUGAAGAAGGCUUCUGUAUUCCGUUGACACAGAAGAAGUUGCUUGAAGCUCCCUCGUUUGUACAGUAAAAGGUUCUCACUUUUUUGAGAAUUUUGAUGUGAAGAUAGAAGAAAUGGGAAAAGUCUCUACCUGGUUUGUCCGCCCACCACCACCAUACCUAACAUCCUUUCAUAACAUACAGAACACUACCUACCAGACCAGUAAAACAAGCAUCCCUUUGCCUCUCAAGGGUAAUCAAAACGCAUGCAUUCAAUCAGACACCAUCUUUAGGUAUCAAGAUCACAAUUUGCAUAACCUCUGCUUCUUCAUCAAACGAAAACAAUGGCCUUGAUACUCUAGGCUAUAGGUCACACAUUUCUGCAUGAAGUUUGCCUUUACCAAAUAUCAACCGCUGAAAAACCUUUCCAAUUGCAUAUUCCUACACUGAAACCCAGACAAAACUCCAGACUGAACAGAACUGCUAAGCACAGUUUCGUGUGCAAUCAAAAGUACCCUCUUAAAAUUUCACAAAAAUGCAUUUAUCUAGCAUCAUCAUAAAAUGCUAACACUUCUGAUCACAGACACCUAAAUUACAAAUGAAACCAUUCAGGGUAUCAAAAUCAUCAACUCCAAUUCAUGUCAACAAUGGAGAAUAAAUUACAGAACAAUAAUCAAUGCAACUAAUCAUUAAUACAGAGGCAAAAAAUAAUACGGUGGCCUGGGUGAGAGCCCAUAUGAAAAGAAUUAAAAGGUGACGUGGUACACCCUUCCUGCCAGGUGAUGCACUUGAUAGGUACCAUUGAUUCUAGAGAUUGAUCUGUUAGCAGGCAUCCAAAAUUGAAGCACAAAAAAUAAUGUUAUGGACAUGCACGAUAAUGAAGUCCGCUAACUGAAAAGCCAAAAUGAAGCAUCUUUUACUGACAUUGCAAAGUUGCAAAUGCUUUUAACUCUUUCAAAAGAAACACGAAGGGUUUGACUGCAUAUCUAAUUAAUCUACUUUCCCAAAUACUGGCUAGUUCUAUACAAUUCAAAAAGUGUAAAACCAAACAGUACAGAAUAAGAAACCAAAUAAAAAGCAAAAAUUUUACCACCUUUCAACUUGUACACAUACCACAUUUUCAAAAUGGGAUGAAUCCUGCCCCACUCCAUAAUCUGCAAAAAAUAUCAUGUGAAUAAAGCAUCAUCAAGCGAACCCAUUUUAAAUUGCAGUCCAUGCUACAAAUCCCAAUUACCAAUUUUUGAGUUGCACACAAGAGUUGAGUACUCUCUCCUGUUCAAAAAGGGCAAAUACAAGAAAGAAAAUGAUUAUGCCUGUUCACAACAUUUCAUUACCACUAUGAUUACUGCUACUACUCAUUAGUCAGUCAUAAACACUAGUACCUAGUGAUCCACCAUAUUAUCAUGAAGCUUCUCUACAUUCGACUUUCUUUAUUCCGCAACCUCUAUCAUACCAAACUUAGUAGCUAUGAUCGUACUGCUAGUAAAAGCAAUGUACUCAAACAAAAAUAUAUUGAAGAUAGCAUUGAAUUCUAGCGGACAAAUGGAUAUUAACCAACAAAAGGCCAGGAGUUAAACACCAACACAACCAACAUCAAUAACAAUAGAAAAUGCUCAGAACAUUACUCCAGCUUUAAACAGUAGAAAGAGGAAAAAAGAAAAUGAAAAAACAACAAAUAACUUGAAGUUAACAAUUGCAACUUGAGAUCAAAGACUAAUAGAUAAGAGAUAUUGCCACUACUUGGAAAUACUAGCCAUAUAUACUAGUUGAAAACUACUGCAAACUACAGCUGAGGUUUCAAGCAAUCCAACCAUUCCUGGUAUCCGCUGCCAUCAUACAUUCGUUCUACCACCAAUGACAUAUGAAUAUAAGCCUGAGUAUGAAUUCCUGCAAAACUUAAGGCAUCAUCAAUCACUGCUGUGGUGCCUGCCGUGAAUGACCACCACCAUAACUACCAGAUACUUGUGCAGGAUCAGACCUCCAAGAUUCAUUGCCAUAUCCUGAAUUCCCAUUAGUGUCACCAUAGCCACCACCUGGGUAACCAUCCCCACUCCCUUGUUGGUCUCCCCCACCAGCUCCACUGCUGUUAUUUGGGGCAUUUCCAAUGCGCCCAACAGCAGCUCCAUACCCACCAGGAUAAGGACCAUCAUUUCCACCAUAAUUGCCAUAACCAUAACCUCCAUAACCAGAAGUUCCUCCUGGAGAU
rnacentral:misc_RNA from 1 species